UGCAAGUCGAGCGGAAACGACACUAACAAUCCUUCGGGUGCGUUAAUGGGCGUCGAGCGGCGGACGGGUGAGUAAUGCCUAGGAAAUUGCCUUGAUGUGGGGGAUAACCAUUGGAAACGAUGGCUAAUACCGCAUGAUGCCUACGGGCCAAAGAGGGGGACCUUCGGGCCUCUCGCGUCAAGAUAUGCCUAGGUGGGAUUAGCUAGUUGGUGAGGUAAUGGCUCACCAAGGCGACGAUCCCUAGCUGGUCUGAGAGGAUGAUCAGCCACACUGGAACUGAGACACGGUCCAGACUCCUACGGGAGGCAGCAGUGGGGAAUAUUGCACAAUGGGCGAAAGCCUGAUGCAGCCAUGCCGCGUGUAUGAAGAAGGCCUUCGGGUUGUAAAGUACUUUCAGUUGUGAGGAAGGGUGUGUAGUUAAUAGCUGCGCAUCUUGACGUUAGCAACAGAAGAAGCACCGGCUAACUCCGUGCCAGCAGCCGCGGUAAUACGGAGGGUGCGAGCGUUAAUCGGAAUUACUGGGCGUAAAGCGCAUGCAGGUGGUUCAUUAAGUCAGAUGUGAAAGCCCGGGGCUCAACCUCGGAACUGCAUUUGAAACUGGUGAACUAGAGUACUGUAGAGGGGGGUAGAAUUUCAGGUGUAGCGGUGAAUUGCGUAGAGAUCUGAAGGAAUACCAGUGGCGAAGGCGGUCCCCUGGAAAGAUACUGACACUCAUAUGCGAAAGCGUGGGGAG
rnacentral:rRNA from 1 species